CCUACGGGAGGCAGCAGUGGGGAAUAUUGGGCAAUGGGCGCAAGCCUGACCCAGCAACGCCGCGUGAAGGAAGAAGGCCCUCGGGUUGUAAACUUCUUUUGUCAGGGACGAAGAAAGUGACGGUACCUGACGAAUAUGCCACGGCUAACUACGUGCCAGCAGCCGCGGGAAUACGUAGGUGGCAAGCGUUAUCCGGAUUUACUGGGUGUAAAGGGAGUGUAGGCGGGACUGCAAGUCAGAUGUGAAAUUCCAGGGCUCAACCCUAGAACUGCAUUUGAUACUGUAGUUCUUGAGUGAUGGAGAGGCAGGCGGAAUUCCGGGUGUAGCGGUGAAAUGCGUAGAUAUACGGAGGAACACCAGUGGCGAAGGCGGCCUGCUGGACAUUAACUGACGCUGAGGCGCGAAAGCGUGGGGAGCAAACAGGAUUAGAUACCCCUGUAGUC
rnacentral:rRNA from 1 species